AAAAACUCCGGUGGUGUAAGAUGGAUCCGCGUCUGAUUAGCUGGUUGGCGGGGUAGAAGCCCACCAAGGCGACGAUCAGUAGCCGGCCUGAGAGGGUGAACGGCCACAUUGGGACUGAGACACGGCCCAAACUCCUACGGGAGGCAGCAGUGGGGAAUAUUGCACAAUGGGGGAAACCCUGAUGCAGCAACGCCGCGUGAGUGAAGAAGUCAUUCGUGAUGUAAAGCUCUAUCAGCAGGGAAGAAAAUGACGGUACCUGAGUAAGAAGCCCCGGCUAACUACGUGCCAGCAGCCGCGGUAAUACGUAGGGGGCAAGCGUUAUCCGGAUUUACUGGGUGUAAAGGGAGCGUAGACGGCCAGACAAGUCUGAAGUGAAAAUCCAGCGCUUAACGUUGGAAGUGCUUUGGAAACUGCCGGGCUAGAGUGCAGGAGGGGCAGGCGGAAUUCCUAGUGUAGCGGUGAAAUGCGUAGAUAUUAGGAGGAACACCAGUGGCGAAGGCGGCCUGCUGGACUGCAACUGACGUUGAGGCUCGAAGGCGUGGGGAGCAAACAGGAUUAGAUACCCUGGUAGUCCACGCGGUAAACGAUGAUUACUAGGUGUCGGGGGGCUAGAGCCCUUCG
rnacentral:rRNA from 1 species